rnacentral:rRNA from 1 species
AGUCGAACGAACUCUGGUAUUGAUUGGUGCUUGCAUCAUGAUUUACAUUUGAGUGAGUGGCGAACUGGUGAGUAACACGUGGGAAACCUGCCCAGAAGCGGGGGAUAACACCUGGAAACAGAUGCUAAUACCGCAUAACAACUUGGACCGCAUGGUCCGAGCUUGAAAGAUGGCUUCGGCUAUCACUUUUGGAUGGUCCCGCGGCGUAUUAGCUAGAUGGUGGGGUAACGGCUCACCAUGGCAAUGAUACGUAGCCGACCUGAGAGGGUAAUCGGCCACAUUGGGACUGAGACACGGCCCAAACUCCUACGGGAGGCAGCAGUAGGGAAUCUUCCACAAUGGACGAAAGUCUGAUGGAGCAACGCCGCGUGAGUGAAGAAGGGUUUCGGCUCGUAAAACUCUGUUGUUAAAGAAGAACAUAUCUGAGAGUAACUGUUCAGGUAUUGACGGUAUUUAACCAGAAAGCCACGGCUAACUACGUGCCAGCAGCCGCGGUAAUACGUAGGUGGCAAGCGUUGUCCGGAUUUAUUGGGCGUAAAGCGAGCGCAGGCGGUUUUUUAAGUCUGAUGUGAAAGCCUUCGGCUCAACCGAAGAAGUGCAUCGGAAACUGGGAAACUUGAGUGCAGAAGAGGACAGUGGAACUCCAUGUGUAGCGGUGAAAUGCGUAGAUAUAUGGAAGAACACCAGUGGCGAAGGCGGCUGUCUGGUCUGUAACUGACGCUGAGGCUCGAAAGUAUGGGUAGCAAACAGGAUUAGAUACCCUGGUAGUCCAUACCGUAAACGAUGAAUGCUAAGUGUUGGAGGGUUUCCGCCCUUCAGUGCUGCAGCUAACGCAUUAAGCAUUCCGCCUGGGGAGUACGGCCGCAAGGCUGAAACUCAAAGGAAUUGACGGGGGCCCGCACAAGCGGUGGAGCAUGUGGUUUAAUUCGAAGCUACGCGAAGAACCUUACCAGGUCUUGACAUACUAUGCAAAUCUAAGAGAUUAGACGUUCCCUUCGGGGACAUGGAUACAGGUGGUGCAUGGUUGUCGUCAGCUCGUGUCGUGAGAUGUUGGGUUAAGUCCCGCAACGAGCGCAACCCUUAUUAUCAGUUGCCAGCAUUAAGUUGGGCACUCUGGUGAGACUGCCGGUGACAAACCGGAGGAAGGUGGGGAUGACGUCAAAUCAUCAUGCCCCUUAUGACCUGGGCUACACACGUGCUACAAUGGAUGGUACAACGAGUUGCGAACUCGCGAGAGUAAGCUAAUCUCUUAAAGCCAUUCUCAGUUCGGAUUGUAGGCUGCAACUCGCCUACAUGAAGUCGGAAUCGCUAGUAAUCGCGGAUCAGCAUGCCGCGGUGAAUACGUUCCCGGGCCUUGUACACACCGCCCGUCACACCAUGAGAGUUUGUAACACCCAAAGUCGGUGGGGUAACCUUUUAGGAACCA